CUUUAAGGGUCCAGCAAUGAAGGGGGCAGACUAGUUGUUUGAGGGGACAUCCUUGUCCCCCCUCUGGAGUCACCGAUGUGACUCUGACAUCUGCAGGCAGAGUUGGGAAAGACUCCUGUUUAAAAACCUGGAAUGCUGCUACCAGACAAUGUAGACAAUUCUGGGUUAGAUGGACCAAUGACCUGAUUCAUAUAUUUAUUUUGUGUUCCCCAAGGUUCUGUAUUAGGACCAGUACUUUUUAACUUGUGUAGGUGCCCCAGGAUCUUGACCCUUGUGGGACCCCUUUUUGUGCAGGCUCCAUUUCUGUUUCUUUCUCUGGAGGCCUCAGAGUCUUUUGGGGAGGGAGUUUGUGGCACCCAUGUUCCUCCCCCAGCCAGGUGAACUCCUUGUUGAGCCUCUCUCCAGAGGGCCUCAACCUGUGUGCCUGGAGAAACCGCCUUCAUAGCUCCGCCCCUAGAAGUCCCGCCCACACAAGUACUUCCAGUUCCACCAAUACCAGUUCCAUUGGCCCCGCCUGCAGGCUCAGCCCAUUGGCUCUUGAGCCUGCCAUGGAGCUGCCUGGAGGCCCGAUGCUGUCCAGUGGCACAGUUGCUCACACCUGGGCAUCAGCAACACACACCGGGUUCAUCAAGCCCUACGGCUCACGGUUCUGCAGCUAGGCCGGAGGAAUAAGGGGAUCCUGCUGCUGCCAAGGCCAACCCAGGAACAAGUGAAUGCACCAAUAGGAAUAAGGAGACGAGGCACCCCCUCUGCAACUGUAUUUGCCAGAAAUUGAUGGGAUGAAUGAAGAGAAGCCUGCUGUAUGAACAAGCCAAGCGCCUUCAUCUUGCGAUUGGGAGUGAUCUGACAGUAGGAAGCAGGACAAUGUACAUUUCUGUGUAACGACUUCGCCAUCCUUCUGCCUUAUCUCAAGAUAAAUCAUAUCUGGAAAGUGGAAAGACCAAGGCAAAGAACUAUAAUGUGCCUAGAUAAGGAGGCCCUGCAGCUGCUGCUUGUACUGAAAAGAAAGGUCCUGUUGGAGCGAAUGGAAGAUUUAUCUCUGUUCUGGCUCCUGCUGCUUAGACUGGCUGGCUACAUCUGUCCAGGCUGGUGUUUCUGUGAGGCAGGUGUGCAAGGACUGGUCAGGUGACACGUGUGUCAGCAGUUUCAUGUACAAACAUCGGAGACAAUACAGAGUCCUGAGGGACACCAUACAGAUUUGGAAGAACAACAAUCUCCAAGGGACACCAUCUGGAAUCUGCCCAUGAGUACUCAAUACCUUGGUUAUGUAGCCUUGCAACUGCAGGACUGGAGUAUAUGUUCAGUGUACAACUGAAACAAAACUUGAGGUGUAGAACAAAAGAGGAAUAAGUUUAUUAUUUACAACUGAUUGGAAUAAAGAUCUCUUCAAGGCAGAGCACAUAAACCUAUCUACAAAGUUGCUACAAUCAUCUGAUGAAAAUGGAUGGCAGCAACAAAGGAAGAAUAAUGCCUCUUCACACAAAAUGUUAUUGAUCUGUGAACUUGUCCUUAUAGAAUAUUGGGAUGGCAAACUAAAGCAAUAUCUGCAUGCCCCUUCCUUUAGAAGCGAGCAAACAGAACUCCAGGUAUGCUGCACAUUAGAAUCGGCCCACGGCCAGACAUUUGUGUGAUAACAGGGCCCAAGGGAACAAGGAAGCACUGCAGAACACAACAACGGAACAAAAAGCCCAUGAUGGAACUCAUCCCAGGAGAGAGCCAAAGACAGCUGAAGCAAAGUC